UUUUGAACGCACAUUGCACCUUUUCCUUGAAAAAGGUAUGCCUGUUUGAGCUUCAGUUU
rnacentral:rRNA from 1 species